GGCGGCGUGCCUAAUACAUGCAAGUCGAGCGAAUGGAUUAAGAGCUUGCUCUUAUGAAGUUAGCGGCGGACGGGUGAGUAACACGUGGGUAACCUGCCCAUAAGACUGGGAUAACUCCGGGAAACCGGGGCUAAUACCGGAUAACAUUUUGAACCGCAUGGUUCGAAAUUGAAAGGCGGCUUCGGCUGUCACUUAUGGAUGGACCCGCGUCGCAUUAGCUAGUUGGUGAGGUAACGGCUCACCAAGGCAACGAUGCGUAGCCGACCUGAGAGGGUGAUCGGCCACACUGGGACUGAGACACGGCCCAGACUCCUACGGGAGGCAGCAGUAGGGAAUCUUCCGCAAUGGACGAAAGUCUGACGGAGCAACGCCGCGUGAGUGAUGAAGGCUUUCGGGUCGUAAAACUCUGUUGUUAGGGAAGAACAAGUGCUAGUUGAAUAAGCUGGCACCUUGACGGUACCUAACCCGACAGCCCCCGGCU
rnacentral:rRNA from 1 species